rnacentral:rRNA from 1 species
GAUGAACGCUGGCGGCGUGCCUAAUACAUGCAAGUCGAGCGAACAGACGAGGAGCUUGCUCCUCUGACGUUAGCGGCGGACGGGUGAGUAACACGUGGAUAACCUACCUAUAAGACUGGGAUAACUUCGGGAAACCGGAGCUAAUACCGGAUAAUAUAUUGAACCGCAUGGUUCAAUAGUGAAAGACGGUUUUGCUGUCACUUAUAGAUGGAUCCGCGCCGCAUUAGCUAGUUGGUAAGGUAACGGCUUACCAAGGCAACGAUGCGUAGCCGACCUGAGAGGAUGAUCGGCCACACUGGAACUGAGACACGGUCCAGACUCCUACGGGAGGCAGCAGUAGGGAUUCUUCCGCAAGGAGCGAAAGCUUGACGGAGCAACGCCGCGUGAGUGAUGAGGGUCUUCGGAUCGUAAAACUCUGUUAUUAGGGAAGAACAAAUGUGUAAGUAACUAUGCGCGUCUUGACGGUACCUAAUCAGAAAGCCACGGCUAACUACGUG